rnacentral:rRNA from 1 species
GCAUGGUCUUAGCUUGCUAAGGCCGAUGGCGACCGGCGCACGGGUGAGUAACACGUAUCCAACCUGCCGUCUACUCUUGGACAGCCUUCUGAAAGGAAGAUUAAUACAAGAUGGCAUCAUGAGUCCGCAUGUUCACAUGAUUAAAGGUAUUCCGGUAGACGAUGGGGAUGCGUUCCAUUAGAUAGUAGGCGGGGUAACGGCCCACCUAGUCUUCGAUGGAUAGGGGUUCUGAGAGGAAGGUCCCCCACAUUGGAACUGAGACACGGUCCAAACUCCUACGGGAGGCAGCAGUGAGGAAUAUUGGUCAAUGGGCGAGAGCCUGAACCAGCCAAGUAGCGUGAAGGAUGACUGCCCUAUGGGUUGUAAACUUCUUUUAUAAAGGAAUAAAGUCGGGUAUGUAUACCCGUUUGCAUGUACUUUAUGAAUAAGGAUCGGCUAACUCCGUGCCAGCAGCCGCGGUAAUACGGAGGAUCCGAGCGUUAUCCGGAUUUAUUGGGUUUAAAGGGAGCGUAGAUGGAUGUUUAAGUCAGUUGUGAAAGUUUGCGGCUCAACCGUAAAAUUGCAGUUGAUACUGGAUAUCUUGAGUGCAGUUGAGGCAGGCGGAAUUCGUGGUGUAGCGGUGAAAUGCUUAGAUAUCACGAAGAACUCCGAUUGCGAAGGCAGCCUGCUAAGCUGCAACUGACAUUGAGGCUCGAAAGUGUGGGUAUCAAACAGGAU